AUCCUCAGGAUUUGGCUCAUGGCCCACACUCUUGGAGCGAUACACUUCAAUUUUCUUGGAUGUGGGAGUGAUUUUUUGUCCUUCUGAGCUUACCUCAUAUGUAGAUAAAGAGAGGGUUUUUCCUGUGGGAGCUUGGAGAGACACAGUUCCUUGAAAUGCACACAGAGGAAUAGCUAAGGCACCGCCUGAACGCUGAAAUGAGAAAAAUGGUUAUUAUUUAGUGUUGCUGCCACAAGCAAAAAACAGUUGUCAACAAUCCAGUUACAUCUCAUUAUUUUCACUGCUGUGUGUUGAGAAUACCUUUUAAAGGCCUUUGAUGUCAUUGAUGGUAUAAAAAUAUACGCUUCUUUAUUCACAGUUCUUAUUCUGAAUGUAUUGACUCCUUCUGUUUCCUACACAAUUGCACAAAACUCACUAUUCUUUUUACUUUUUAACCAUUUUUGUCCUUGCAGGUAUUAGCACCUGUCCAAUAUUUUCUAAGUUUGGAAGCUAAGCAGAAUUAGCCCUGGUUAAUACUUGAAGAGAAGAUCUCCAGAGAAUAUCAGAGCUAUAUGUUGGUAUCUUGAAAACAAUGUGAAGUUACCAGAGAUUCAUAAUUGAAUAAUUAUCUUCCUGGACAAAGAACUUCUACCCAUUAAUCUCGUUUGCUCAUUUGGGAUGUAUCAAAUAAUAAUUAUUAAUCAGUUGUUGAAAGUGCAGAAAGUUUUAUUAUUUCUAAAAAUAGGAAGAGAGAGAAUCAACUUUAAGAGAUCAAGGCGACAAUCUGAUACACACUUUUCUGGAAAGAGAAACUCCUCAAUCUACUCCUGAAUACACACAAGCUUAGCUUAUAGAAGAUAUGAAUAUCAAGAAAAAAAUAGCCAGAUUUCCAUGCUACAGCUCAUAGAGGGAUUAAAUAUAGGAAGACGUAGGCUGGGGUGAGUGAGCCUUUCCCAACUCUUCUCUGGCAGAAAUGUUGACCAGUCCAACAGAUGUAUUUUAAUGCUUUAAAAAAAAGCAGCAGGAAGUAAUUAUCUCCCAGACAGUGUGGCAACUGGGCAACCAUCCAAAAAAGCUGUCCUUCAUUUGAUCAUGUGCGGUGGAUGCACAGAGGGAAAUCAGUCAUUCAGUCAUUAAGGGAACUCAGUAAGUUUUAUUCCAGUGAGUGUGUUUAAAAUUGUACGAAAUGUAAUAAAAUUUGCACAUUAUUGUGUAGAUUUAUUUAUGACUUAAAGAGAGGCACAUCAUAACAUUUGGAAUGUGAAAUAAAAAUUUCUUAGAACAAGAGCACAGUUAUUUCCCAGCUAUUAGAAAACAGUUUUUUAUGUUGGUUCUAUUAGGAAAUGUACACUCUUUGAAAGACUGUUAAAUUUACACUGGAAGUAAAUUAAAUGACCUUAUUGUAACAGAAAUAAUAUAAAAAUAAAUGCUAAUUUGACUUGGAGC